CUGCUCAUAGUCACAACAACCAGCUGCUGCACGGGAUCUCCCCACCUGCAUGCAAACUACUCCUCAUCGACUCAAACAGAUCUGAAAAACGUUUUCCACCACUGCAGCAUGGGUGCCAUCUUUUGGCCGCUGAUCCUCUGCUGUGUGCUUGGCUUGUAAAGAGCUCCGGACUUCAACAUGUGAACGCUGUGCAGCACAGCAGUCCCUCCCCUCCCACAAGGCUUGCGCACAGGAAAUCCACAGCAGAGAGAGCAGUACCAACACAGAGAGAGAGAG